AGCUUCGCGCAGCGGCAGUAUCGUAGCCAAUGAGGUUUAUCCGAGGCGUGAUUAUUGCUAAUUGAAAAGAGCUUUUUAUAUAUAUGUAGGAGAGUCACAAGUUUCCUUAGUGCUAUCAGGAAAGAAGGAAAUUUA